GCGAAUGUACUUCUGUAUUUUCCAGAGUUACGAUUUUCAAGCAACAUAUCUUUAGGAAACAUUUUUUGAAGUCAUCCCUGAAAAACGAAUGUGAAUAUGAAGACACCCAGUCAGAUAUUAAUUUGCCAUCAACUAGUAAAAGUAUAACGACAAAUAUAGAGUAUGUUGAAGAAAAAACACAUGAUAGCGAUGAUUUGUCAGAAUGUUUUACUGAAAAUUUGGAAGAGGAUGCAUUUAUUCAAAGUAUGGGACCAAACACGUACAAAGAAGGGACUAAUCUUAAUAAAAGAACCUGGAAAUGUUUACGUUGAUUUAAUAUUAAAAGCAUCUCAAAAACUUGAAAUUAAUGGCGCGACUGUUGUACUAGAAUCAGAUGGAACACCAGUUGAGGAAGAGGAAAUAUUAAUUGCUGUAAAACAUGAAACUUUAAUUUUGUUAGAACCGGGUCAAGUUUGGUUGUCGUCUCAAUCCCAGUGUGAAAUAAGUGAAUCAUCCAGUGGUCCCAAUAAUCAUUCUUUCAUGUCACUGACUUCAACAGAGACUAUUGCUUCCACUAAAAGUAACGAAUGUAUCAGUGGUGC